AGCCGUUUGGACAAAUGGCAGUGGUUGUUGCCAAAUAUGUCUUACAGAGGACGGGCUCUCAUUGCUAACAAUUUAAUAGCCUCCUCACUUUGGCACAGACUGGCAUGUGUGGAUCCCUCACCACAAUUUUUAACGGAAGCUCAAGCUCUUCUGGUAAAUUUCUUUUGGGACAAGCUACAUUGGACUUCAAAAAGUAUUUUGUUUCUUCCUAAGGAAGAGGGUGGACAAGGACUGAUUCAUCUACAAAGUAGGUGUGCUGCUUUUCGGUUGCAGUUCGUGAAGAGAUUUCUUGAUGGACCUGUGCAUAUUGGUUGGCGUGCUGUUUGUUGCACCAUUUUGCGCACUGUGGGAAGCUUUGGACUGGACAAACCUCUGUUUUUAAUGAAGACAACCAAAUUGGAUUUAUCAGGACUGCCUGCCUUCUAUCAGAGCAUCUUUAAAGUGUGGGGUCUUUUUCGAGUUCAAAAGACUGAGAACUUUUCCUCACUCCAUUGGUUACUUCAAGAACCCUUAAUUUCUGGGGCUCGUCUGGAUGUCACCGCUCAUUGUAAUCUAUCUGGGUUUAGUUUCUUGCUCCAGAAAUCUAGAGUGUUUACUUUGGGCCAUUUGUUGGCUUUAACUGGUCCUAAUUUUGAAAACUUUGAUGUAGCUUCAAAACAUUUGGGAAUUAGGUCUGAUCGGCUAUUUUGUCAGUUUUUGACUAGUUUGAAACUCUGUCUAACUGCUGAGGAAAAAAGCCUCUUGGAUGAUUUCUUCACUGGGGCCAGUACCCCUGACAUUGAUGACCUUUUCCCAUGUUUAAUUGUUCAACCUAAUUUUGGUGAUUGUACUAGUCUUUUUUUUAAAUCAUGUGAAUCUCUUUCUUUGGAUCUCUUGUCAUGUGAAGGUAAAAAGUUGUAUAAAGUGUGUGUUUUGGUUCUUAAUAAGAGUAUUCUUGAAACAAAAACUGACACACCAUGGCGCUCUGUUCUCAGACUGAGAAAUGAUGUUAGACCGGAAUGGAGAUCGUUAUAUAAGCCACCUUUGUCUAAGAGGGUAGGUGAUUUGCAGUGGAGAAUUCUUCACGGUGUCAUCGCGGUUAAUUCUUUCGUGUCUGUGCUGAAUCCAGAAGUCAGUCCUGCUUGCCCCUUUUGUACACAAAGGGAGACAAUUUUUCAUGCGUUCAUGUACUGUUCCAGACUGGAACCUUUGUUCACGAAGUUAAGAGAGUUAUUUUGGAGGUUGAGUGAAAGGUUUGAUAUUGAGACUUUCAUUCUGGGUUUCAAAUAUUCUCGAGGAAAACGGUUUGUAUGCCAGCUUAUGAAUUUUAUUAUUGGGCAAGCCAAAAUGGCCAUCUAUGCCAGCAGAAAAAGAAGAAUACAGCAAGAAUCAUGUGAUAUCAAUGUGUGCUUUUCAAGUUUGGUAAAGUCUAGAGUUCUGAUAGAUUUUCGCUUCUAUAAAAGCAUGCAAAGCCUUAACAUUUUUGAAACAAUAUGGUGCAGUAAUGGAGCUCUUUGUGAGUUAUCUGAAGGGAACUUGGUUUUCUUUUUGUGAUGAGUAUGAUUGUGUAUGUGCAAUGUGUUGUACUUAAUUUGUUUUUUGUUUUAUUUUUUGUGAGGAGGGGGGGAUGUUUGUUGUGAGAUAAUUGAGUGUUUAUAAAAAAGAAA
ensembl:lncRNA